GACUGACGUAUACGACGCGUCUCCUCUCUCUCUCUCUCGCGAUAUUUCGUUCUUGCGCUCGUAAAAAUCGUUACAUUGGCAUUCGUCAGCGGGUCGACGCUUUCUUUGAAUUUUUCGAAUUAUUAUUGUCACAUCGCGAGGGCUUUAUCGAAUUUGACGAGUCAAUCGUCCGGCUUUCUUGUCGGCUCAGAUAGAUCGCUUUUAAAUUUCGCGCCUUUUUAUCUAACCUCGAAAUCUCCCCGCGAUAAAUUCACUCUCGCAUAACAUAACCUCGAUCUACCUCACACACGCACACACAGUUCUAGGUAGUAGUCUCUCCGAGAGAGAGAGAGCAAUUACAGCCUCGCGCCCCGUUAUCAAGACCUCGUGUGCGCGCGAUUGCGGGAUUGUAAAAGAGCCGACAAUCACAAUAAAAGGAUAAUAAAAAGCUCGCCUUCUCUCUCACGGAGUAGGCCUGAUGGUAAAAGAAGCAACAACAAAUUGAAUGCGUUCGCUAAUUUUGCCCCUCGCUCGCGCGAAAAAGGAAUAACGUCUUCUUCGAGGAGGUGAUUAGCGCGCAUUAAAACGCGAUUAUUGCGUACUGCGCGACUCGCGCUGCCGUUGCUGUCAUUAGCGAUUUUCAACGAGGAGGACGUUUUUUCGUGCCUUUCCGCGAAUCAAUUAUGACACGGCCGGUAUAAUACGUGCUGGCAUCUUUGCGCGCGAGAGUCCGGUGAUUGUGUGUGCAUGUGCGCGAGAGACAGAGAGAGAAAAAGACCAACCGUGGCGUGCAUUACGAGUAUUUUAUGGCCCUUGGGCUGCACACACGAAAACGACGAGGUGAGCACCGAGCUGCAGAGCGUAGUCCCAGUGCUUGAACUGUCUCGGAGAUUUGGAACGUCGAUGGAAGAAACACCCCAGAGCCCACAGCAUCGCCUACAUCGUUUCAGGAUCGACAAAACGGCAACCGGUCGGCUACACGCAAUCGGUUUUGGUACCAGUCUCCACAGG